rnacentral:rRNA from 1 species
AGCGUAGACGGUGUGGCAAGUCUGAUGUGAAAGGCAUGGGCUCAACCUGUGGACUGCAUUGGAAACUGUCAUACUUGAGUGCCGGAGGGGUAAGCGGAAUUCCUAGUGUAGCGGUGAAAUGCGUAGAUAUUAGGAGGAACACCAGUGGCGAAGGCGGCUUACUGGACGGUAACUGACGUUGAGGCUCGAAAGCGUGGGAGCAAACCA